GUGAAAAUACAGGGUGUACUAGGGUCCAUAGAGGGCACAGAAAAAAGCCUUUGCAGUAACCUACUGUAUCUCUUUCUGCACGGAUUGACAUUUGGACUUCAUUUCUUUUAAAAAAGCAAGGAUCUUCCAGCAAAUCCCACCAAGGAUAAUGUGUUGGCUGAAUUGAGUUGGACCCGAAGCACAAAUCGAGAUCUGUCACCAGCAAUCCACCCUUGGCUUCAAUCAGACCUCAUUUUGCUUGGCGAUGAAGCGGUCGAUGAAGCUCCUCACGUCGUUGCUGUCGUGUUCUUCUUUGCGCUGC